UAGGCAACCUACCUCGAAGACGGGAAUAUACGGCAGAAAUGCCGGGCAAUAACCGAUAAUGUCUCUUCCUUCAAGGGUUGAGAAGAAAGGCGCAAACCGCUUUGAGACGGGCUUAUCUCCUAUCACGGCAGUUGGUAAGGUAACGGCUUACCAAACCUACGACGGGUAGCUGGUCUGAGAGGACGGUCAGCCACAUUGGGACUGAGACACGGCCCAGACUCCUACGGGAGGCAGCAGCCGGGAAUAUUCGGCAAUGGGCGAAAGCCUGACCGAGCGACACCGCGUGAGCGACGAAGGCCUUCGGGUCGUAAAGCUCUUUUAUUUGGGAAGAAUGCAUAGUAAUAUGUUUGACGGUACCAUUUGAAUAAGCCCCAGCUAACUACGUGCCAGCAGCUGCGGUAAUACGUAGGGGGCAAGCGUUAUCCGGAAUCACUGGGCGUAAAGGGUCCGCAGGUGUCCCGUUAAGUUAGAUGUUAAAUCGCAAGGCUCAACCUUGCGGCUGCAUCUAAUACUGACAGGAUAGAGGAUAGGUGACGGAAGUGGAAUUCCUGGUGGAGAGGUAAAAUCCGUAGAUAUCAGGAGGAACACCCGUGGCGUAGGCGGCUUCCGAACCUAUUCCUGACACUCAGGGACGAAAGCUAGGGGAGCAAACAGGAUUAGAUACCCUGGUAGUCCUAGCUGUAAACGAUGAAUACUAGAUAGUGGGUGCUACACCGUACUCACCGUCGUAGCUAACGCGUUAAGUAUUUCGCCUGGGAACUACGAUCGCAAGUUUGAAACUCAAAGGAAUUGACGGGUCCCCGCACAAGCAGCGAGGCAUGUGGCUUAAUUCGAUGCAACACGAAGAACCUUACCUGGACUUGACAUGUUUCUGAAAGGCCGGAGAAACCCGGUCCCUUCCAGUUUACUGGAACAGUUUCACAGGUGGUGCAUGGUUGUCGUCAGCUCGUGUCGUGAGAUGUAAGGUUAAGUCCCUAAACGAGCGUAACCUUUGUCAUUAGUUGCCACCGGUUUGGCCGAGCAUUCUAAUGAGACCGCUAGCGUCAAGAUAGAGGAAGAUGGAGAUGACGUCAAAUCCUCA
rnacentral:rRNA from 1 species